CGGGAUGAGCUCAAAUUUAAAAUCUGGCGUCUUCGGCGUCCGAGUUGUAAUUUAGAGAAGCGUUUUCCGCGCAGGACCGUGUACAAGUCUCCUGGAACGGAGCGUCAUAGAGGGUGAGAAUCCCGUCUUUGACACGGACCCCCUGUGCUCUGUGAUACGCUCUCGAA
rnacentral:rRNA from 1 species